AUUGAACGCUGGCGGCAGGCCUAACACAUGCAAGUCGAGCGGAUGAAGGGAGCUUGCUCCUGGAUUCAGCGGCAGACGGGUGAGUAAUGCCUAGGAAUCUGCCUGGUAGUGGGGGAUAACGUCCGGAAACGGGCGCUAAUACCGCAUACGUCCUGAGGGAGAAAGUGGGGGAUCUUCGGACCUCACGCUAUCAGAUGAGCCUAGGUCGGAUUAGCUAGUUGGUGGGGUAAAGGCCUACCAAGGCGACGAUCCGUAACUGGUCUGAGAGGAUGAUCAGUCACACUGGAACUGAGACACGGUCCAGACUCCUACGGGAGGCAGCAGUGGGGAAUAUUGGACAAAGGGCGAAAGCCUGAUCCAGCCAUGCCGCGUGUGUGAAGAAGGUCUUCGGAUUGUAAAGCACUUUAAGUUGGGAGGAAGGGCAGUAAGUUAAUACCUUGCUGUUUUGACGUUACCAACAGAAUAAGCACCGGCUAACUUCGUG
rnacentral:rRNA from 1 species